GAAUUUGUAGACGUGUUUGGGAAUGUCAUUGAGAGAUGUCCUCUGAUUGCAGCUGCUGUUCAGUCCCAGCGCCCAUUCUCUGAUUUGCAAGAUUUAAAGAAGCAUUUUUUUGCCCUUAUCGAUGCCCUUCCACAGCCAGGCAUUGUUCCAGGCGCUGGGGACAGAGACGUGAACAGGACAAUUCCCUAACCUCAUGGAGCUUAUAUUCUAGUAAAGAGAAAUAGAGGAUUGAAAUAAUGAAUAAAAUGAUUUCUGAUUCUAAACAUUAUUAUGAAGAAAAUAUUUAAUAAAGGAAGUCUUUCUCAACUGGUGAUAUCAGAGAUGAAAGCCGAAGGAUGAGAAGGAAGCAGCCCAAGAUCUAGUAAACCAGUCUAAGAAAAAGAACCUGGAACUGGAAUGAAUUUGACAUUUUGGAGAGCAUGGAAAGAUCAAGGGUACAUCUUGAGACAUGACGGGUCAGUGGCACGGACACUAAAUCCAGGUUUAGGAAAGACUUUGAAGAGCAGGCAGCUUCAAGAUGACCCAGUGAACCACAGUGUAUUCGACUGACCUAGCCAGAGCUUGGGCCUUCCAGGAAGUCUUCAGGCCCUUGCGUCCGGCCGCCUCCGACAUCAAAGCCCCCCUGAGAGCAAAAGACUUUGAAAAGAUACGAAAUGCUCAGACUCCUUAUCGCGUCCCCGCUCCCUCCCGAGCAAGCCAUAAAUUCCAAACCUCCGCGGUCUCUCUGUCCUCUCGGCUGUGCUUGCCCCAAGGUCUCAAAGGACAAACCUAUCACUCCCGGCCCCGCCCCCUGACCUGGCCGGGGCCGAACGGAGCGAGGACCGAGGCGCUCAAGGUCCUGGGCACGUUGGAGGGGCGGGCGCGAUUGGCCCCCCUCCGCCGCCAGGACACCCCUUGUUGGCCUGACCCGCCGCCUGGGGAUCCUGCCUCGCUCCCCUCAGCCUCAUCGGCGCCCGCCCGGGUCGGGCUCCGCCUGCCCGCCGCCGCCACGCCGUGCGCUCAGCCCGCAGCCUUGCGCGCCCUCCUCCCGGCGAGUGUCUGUGCUUCUCCGCAGGCCAAGAGGGCAUCCUGCGCUGCCGCCCCGACCUGGCGGGCCGCGAGCUGCAGCGGGGCACGCUCGCCGCAGAGUCGCAACGGGAGCAGAGCGGCGCGGGCCUGACGAGCCUGGGCGCGGACGAGAUGCGCCGGCUGGCGGAGC